rnacentral:tRNA from 1 species
GCGGUCGUGGCGAAACGGUAGACGCACUACCUUGAGGUGGUAGCGGGAAUUAUUCCUGUGGAGGUUCAAAUCCUCUCGACCGCACCA